rnacentral:rRNA from 1 species
UAGGGAAUAUUGGUAAUGUGCGAAAGCGCGAACCAGCAACGCCGCGUGCACGAUGAAGGCCUUCGGGUUGUAAAGUGCUUUUAGAGAGGAUGAGGAAGGACAGUACUUUCUGAAUAAGCCUCGGCUAACUACGUGCCAGCAGCCGCGGUAAAACGUAGGAGGCUAGCGUUAUCCGGAUUUACUGGGCGUAAAGCGCGUGCAGGUGGUUUCGUAAGUUGGAUGUGAAAGCUCCUGGCUCAACUGGGAGAGGUCGUUCAAAACUGCGAGGCUUGAGAGUGGUAGAGGGAGGUGGAAUUCCGGGUGUAGUGGUGAAAUGCGUAGAGAUCCGGAGGAACACCAGAGGCGAAGGCGGCCGACUGGACCUGACCUGACGCUGAGGCGCGAAGGCGUGGGGAGCGAACG